rnacentral:rRNA from 1 species
AUUGAACGCUGGCGGCAGGCCUAACACAUGCAAGUCGAGCGGAUGAAGGGAGCUUGCUCCUGGAUUCAGCGGCGGACGGGUGAGUAAUGCCUAGGAAUCUGCCUGGUAGUGGGGGAUAACGUUUCGAAAGGGACGCUAAUACCGCAUACGUCCUACGGGAGAAAGCAGGGGACCUUCGGGCCUUGCGCUAUCAGAUGAGCCUAGGUCGGAUUAGGUAGUAGGUGAGGUAAUGGCUCACCUAGGCGACGAUCCGUAACUGGUCUGAGAGGAUGAUCAGUCACACUGGAACUGAGACGCGGUCCAGACUCCUACGGGAGGCAGCAGUGGGGAAUAUUGGACAAUGGGCGAAAGCCUGAUCCAGCCAUGCCGCGUGCGUGAAGAAGGUCUUCGGAUUGUAAAGCACUUUAAGUUGGGAGGAAGGGCAGUAAGUUAAUACCUUGCUGUUUUGACGUUACCGACAGAAUAAGCACCGGCUAACUUCGUGCCAGCAGCCGCGGUAAGAC